GCUUGCUACUUCGCUGACGAGCGGCGGACGGGUGAGUAAUGCCUGGGAAUAUGCCUUGAUGUGGGGGAUAACUAUUGGAAACGAUAGCUAAUACCGCAUAAUGCCUACGGGCCAAAGAGGGGGAUCUUCGGACCUCUCGCGUCAAGAUUAGCCCAGGUGGGAUUAGCUAGUUGGUGGGGUAAAGGCUCACCAAGGCGACGAUCCCUAGCUGGUCUGAGAGGAUGAUCAGCCACACUGGAACUGAGACACGGUCCAGACUCCUACGGGAGGCAGCAGUGGGGAAUAUUGCACAAUGGGGGAAACCCUGAUGCAGCCAUGCCGCGUGUAUGAAGAAGGCCUUCGGGUUGUAAAGUACUUUCAGCAGUGAGGAAGGUGGUAGUGUUAAUAGCACUAUCAUUUGACGUUAGCUGCAGAAGAAGCACCGGCUAACUCCGUGCCAGCAGCCGCGGUAAUACGGAGGGUGCGAGCGUUAAUCGGAAUUACUGGGCGUAAAGCGCAUGCAGGCGGUCUGUUAAGCAAGAUGUGAAAGCCCGGGGCUCAACCUCGGAACAGCAUUUUGAACUGGCAGACUAGAGUCUUGU
rnacentral:rRNA from 1 species